rnacentral:tRNA from 1 species
GCUGGUGUAGCUUAGUUGGUUAGAGCAUGUGGCUUUUAAACCACAAGGUUGAAGGUUCAAAUCCUUCCUCCAGCA